rnacentral:rRNA from 1 species
CCUACGGGAGGCAGCAGUGGGGAAUUUUGGACAAUGGGCGAAAGCCUGAUCCAGCAAUGCCGCGUGAGUGAAGAAGGCCUUCGGGUUGUAAAGCUCUUUUGUCAGGGAAGAAACGGUGAGAGCUAAUAUCUUUUGCUAAUGACGGUACCUGAAGAAUAAGCACCGGCUAACUACGUGCCAGCAGCCGCGGUAAUACGUAGGGUGCAAGCGUUAAUCGGAAUUACUGGGCGUAAAGCGUGCGCAGGCGGUUUUGUAAGUCUGAUGUGAAAUCCCCGGGCUCAACCUGGGAAUUGCAUUGGAGACUGCAAGGCUAGAAUCUGGCAGAGGGGGGUAGAAUUCCACGUGUAGCAGUGAAAUGCGUAGAUAUGUGGAGGAACACCGAUGGCGAAGGCAGCCCCCUGGGUCAAGAUUGACGCUCAUGCACGAAAGCGUGGGGAGCAAACAGGAUUAGAUACCCUGGUAGUCCACGCCCUAAACGAUGUCUACUAGUUGUCGGGUCCUAAUUGACUUGGUAACGCAGCUAACGCGUGAAGUAGACCGCCGCGGGAGGUACGGUCGCGAGAAGUUAAAACGUUAAAAGUAAGUAGUAGACGNGAGAGAGACGACGACGACGACGACGGAGGGAGGAG